rnacentral:rRNA from 1 species
GGCCGUCGUCAGUUCGUACUGUUGAAGCAUCCUGUUAAGUCAGGCAACGAGCGAGACCCACGCCAACAGUUGCCAGCAUGUCCUCCGGGAUGAUGGGGACACUGUUGGGACGCCUCUGCUAAAGAGGAGGAAGGAAUGGGCAACGGUAGGUCAGCAUGCCCCGAAUUAUCCGGGCUACACGCGGGCUACAAUGGUCAGGACAAUGGGUAUCGACACCGAGAGGUGGAGGCAAUCUCCUAAACCUGUCCUUAGUUCGGAUUGUGGGCUGCAACUCGCCCACAUGAAGCUGGAAUCCGUAGUAAUCGCGUUUCAAAAUAGCGCGGUGAACUAUCGUCCUGCUCCUU